UAGCCAGACUGCCAGUGCAAACUGCGAGGAAGGUGGGGAUGACGUCAAAUCAUCACGGCCCUUACGUCCUGGGCCACACACGUGCUACAAUGGUAGGUACAGAGAGCAGCCACUUUGCAAAGAGGAGCGAAUCUAUAAAACCUAUCACAGUUCGGAUCGGGGUCUGCAACUCGACCCCGUGAAGCUGGAAUCGCUAGUAAUCGCAUAUCAGCCAUGAUGCGGUGAAUACGUUCCCGGGCCUUGUACACACCGCCCGUCAAGCCAUGGAAGCUGGGGGUACCUGAAGUCCGUCA
rnacentral:rRNA from 1 species